CAUUACACAUUCAACAUAAAGUUUUUGUUUGAGCUUCAUCACUAAUGUUUUUGUGAGGUACUGUAUCAGUGUAUCUAGCCUUAAAUUCUCCAUAUGUUUCUUUUUUCUCUGUGUCUCUAACCUUAAAUUCUCUCUUUAACUCUUCGUUUCUACAAAAACACCUCCCUCUGGAACACUAGAUGCUACAAAAACGGAGGCCCAUGAAAUUGAGUGAUGAGCUGGAAGUCACGGUGGGCUGGAGCUAUUUGACUGGAGAAAGAGAAUUCAUCUAGUGCAAAGUUUGAUGGUUAGCUAUUAUACCACUAGAUUUAUCAUAGUUAUGGUUAUGUUGACUGUGUCUAUUCUAGUUCUACCACCGGUGCUGCCACCAUUACCACCGCCACCAUUGGUUCUUCUCUUUGUACCAGUCAUGAUCAUGUCCCUUCUUGUUUUGCUGGCCUUAAGUCCAAUAUCACAAAUGCCCAACGUCUCCACCAACAGUGCAAUUUGAUUAUGGAAGGAAUCCUCGAGACUUGUGGGUUUCUCUUUCAUCUUCAAUUUCGCUGCAGCCUUCUUGAAUAUUUGUGCUAAAAGAUUAAACUUUGGUAUAUAUAUCACCUACCUUCUUGUUUUCCUGGCCUCAACUCCAUCACAAUCUUUUUCUUGGUUUUGCUGCUUCUUUUUUAUGAAUAAAACAUUUUGAUGAUUUGGUUUUGUUUGCUUCCUUUACUAAUAAUAGAGGAGAUUCAGAUUCUCUACUAAUCAUGUAAAAAUCUUGAAGGGAAAGAGAGAUUCAUACAUGCUCAAGCAUACUUUCCAGAAUUAGGUGAUUCAUGGAGUGUAUAAAAGAAACAUCUUCCACUUUAAUUAUGAAUAUAUACAAGAUGGUGUUGAAGAUUCUCCAUAGUUGUAUUAUUUUCUUGCUAUUUGAUUACUAUCCUAACCAGGCAUGGCCCAAGUCCUUUUGUUUUUGUAUUGCAGCUUAGAACAAUUAAUAUCGCUUUUAAUUUCUGAUAAUGUAGAACAAUGGCCUUAAGUUCUCGUUCUAUGGCCACAAGAAGUUAUCGCCAAAAGAACGCUAUCUCCAUGUAAUGAAGAAUCCAUGAUUUGAUUAAUAUCUGAUGGCAAAUCGAGAUUGGUAAAAGAGAUUGUCAUUAUGAUAAGAAAUUCCAGCUCUCAAUUAACGCAUCGCGUCAAAGUAUAAGGUUGACUCCCAAACGGAUAGCGACGAGUUUGUGAAACGUCGCCGAACCUCUGACGCCUUAAAUGUCGCUCUAAAUUCCCAUAGAAAGCAAAUUUCAGCUUUUCACAAAAGAGGAGCUGAGCACAAACCCGCAAGGAUUCUGUGAACUACGGGCGAUAUUCAAGGAGUAAGGUAAUCUGUGGUACAUCUUGUAGGACAGGGGAUAUAAAUUAUUGAUUGAUUUUGGCUUGAGGAUUCAUGUAAUCCUUGCCGAAAUCUAGCAUGCUUGCGUGCAAUUUGUUCUUCUUUUUCUUUGAGAUAUUGCUUGUUAAAUUUUACAAUAUCAUUUGGUUGUUAAUUCAAGCAUUAUCCUCAUUAAUAU